rnacentral:rRNA from 1 species
GACGAACGCUGGCGGCGUGCUUAACACAUGCAAGUCGAACGGAAAGGCCCUGCUUUUGUGGGGUGCUCGAGUGGCGAACGGGUGAGUAACACGUGAGUAACCUGCCCUUGACUUUGGGAUAACUUCAGGAAACUGGGGCUAAUACCGGAUAGGAGCUCCUGCUGCAUGGUGGGGGUUGGAAAGUUUCGGCGGUUGGGGAUGGACUCGCGGCUUAUCAGCUUGUUGGUGGGGUAGUGGCUUACCAAGGCUUUGACGGGUAGCCGGCCUGAGAGGGUGACCGGCCACAAUGGGACUGAGAUACGGCCCAGACUGCUACGGGAGGCAGCAGUGGGGAAUAUUGCACAAUGGGCGGAAGCCUGAUGCAGCAACGCCGCGGGCGGGAUGACGGCCUUCGGGUUGUAAACCGCUUUCGCCUGUGACGAAGCGUGAGUGACGGUAAUGGGUAAAGAAGCACCGGCUAACUACGUG